rnacentral:lncRNA from 1 species
GACAUUUAUAUAAUAUUCUUUAUUUUGCACUUUAUAUUCAUGUUACUGCAAUUCAUGCAUAAAAGCCAUAAUAUAAACAUAGGUAAUUUAUGAUUACAAAGUGUAUCUCAUUCUACACCAUUUGAUUAAAUAAAUCAAUGUUAGAAAAGCAACAUAAUACAGAAGCACCAUGGGUGCAUUUGCAAAAUUGUGAUCUUUAUAGAUUACAGUGGAUAAAAAAAAAAAAUGCCUAAAUUUCUGUUUAUUAAUUGCUGCUGUAACCUUGACCUUUGACCUAUAUACCUGACAAGCAUUUGGGGGUUUUCACCCAAAGGUGCAUUGUACACUGCAGAUAAGGGCUCAACAGGCAUUGUUCUGAACAACACAAAAGUUCAGUCUAUUUGUAGGUUAGUCCAGUGACUUCAACCUUAACCAAGGUUUACUGAUUUACUGACCAAGAAUCAAAUUCAUGUUUUUUCUGCAAAGUUAGGUGAAGGUUGGACAUAAGGUUCAAAGGAAAUUCUACUGAAAACCAAAGUUUUCCCCAAAAUUCUGUUUAAGAAUUCCUGUUGUGACCUUUGACCUCUGACCGAGCAACCUCAAAAUCUAUGCAAGUUUUUUUUCCAUUUGUUUUCAAGGGGCAUUAUCAAAUUAAGUUUGGUAAGAGUUGGACAUGGUUCAAAACAUAACAUACAUUACCCAAAAUUUUGCCAAAGUUUCACUCUAUCAAACGUGAGUGUGACCUUGAAAUUUUAACAUGAUUAUCCAUAGAAAUCAUCUUUGUCUCAUUUGCAUCAUUCAACCAAGAUUGGUGAAAAAUAAAUGAAUUAAUGGUUUCAAAGAUUUUGUCUAUAAAUCAAAAUGUUGGAAGUCCAGAUAAAAUUCACCUAAUAAUACACUAGUUGAUUCUACUACUGCAUGUAGAAUGUAUGUUCUGAAAAAGAAGUUUGACUAAAUCAAAUCAAUGAAGUUUAAAAAAAAAAGUUUCAGUAACUCCCACUUGCCUGAAUGCUGAUCUACAGUAAAGGAAACAUUCAUACACUAAUAUAAUUGGUCCUUCUAUGUAUAGUGAGAGAGGGACAAACAAUCAUAAGAAAUAUGGGUCAUAUGACCUUCUCCUUAAAAUAUAUGAAGAUUAAUUUAAAUGCACCUAAAACCAAAUAUUGUUGGUUGCAAAGCAGUUCUCAAAAUAUGACUUUUGAAGAUGUAGACACACAUAUGUAUGCACAUAAUACUCCAUUGUUUUCCUCAACUAUAUUUGGGCAAACUUAAUAACUGCAGGACAAUCACUUCUUAAUAAAUUUAACCUGAUCAAACGUGUUUGAAAUUGCUAUUCAAAAGAGGUACAUUCUAUCUUAGAAAACCUGAAGUUAUUUACAUUUUUAGAUAAGACAUAGGUCCCAUAACGUUUUUAUUAAUUUUGACUACAACUUAUAUGAAUUGUUUGAUUCUGUAUAGUCCUGAUAGAAGUGCAAUGGCUAUUUACAUAUUCUCAAAUAAAAUAUCCCUCUAAUAUCAUGUGACAAUUAGAUGAAUUAAUGCAGUAAUACAUUUGAAUGACAAAGCAUACAUAACAAGCUGCCUGUGUUACUUAUAAAUAUACAACAUAUCAAUACUUAUUCUUGAGCAGGUUAAAUUAAGGCUGAACUAUCACUUUCACUUUCAGAAAGGUUCAUUAACAUUUUAAACAAAGUCUAUAUAUAUUCUAAAAGAAGACCUCUGGCUAUUUGCCGUCAACAUUGUGUAAUUAUUAUACAACAAUAUAAUAUAUCAACAAAAUUUCAAAAUCUAUUAUAAGAAUUUUAUUCUUAUAUUGACUCAAUAUGAAAAUUUACCAUUUGUUGAUCACAAUCCAGAUGAUCUUAGAAAAAACUUUUUGUGAUUUAAGUCAUAAAACAAAAAUGGAAAAGAAAACUAUGAUCAACCCUCUGAACUAUCUUUUACCUGAAAAAGCAUAAUAAUAGUGCCCUAUAAAACAGUUAUCACAUAAAAAUAAAACAGCAUGCAUUUUAAUCAAUAUGUUUUUUCUUCAAUGAGAAAACCUUAUUUUUGCAGUAUAA